CCACGGAGCACAAGCAGCUUUGCUUUUCCAUGAUCAAGCUGCUAGAGAUUUUGGGGUGAGGGAGCGAAAUGAAGGCUAAAUAAAAGAACCGGAGAUAAGAUAAUCCUGCCAUGUUAAAAGGCUGUGGCAACGCUCUGGUCUUUGUGGAGAGAGGAGCCUGGUGUCAGCAAAGGCAGCAGGGGGAAAUCUGAACAAAGACAGACGGAGAGGAUGCUGUGCGACAAUGGAAGCAGAGAUUGGAGUGAUACACCUACAAACAAAGGAAUCCGAAAGACUGCUGGCAAUUGCCAGAGACUAGGACAGAGGGAUGGUACAGAUUCUCCCUCAGUGCCUCCAGAAGGAACCAAUCCUGCCGAAACCUUGAUUUUGGACUUUCAGCUUCCAGAAACAGUAAAUAUACAUUGUUUUAAGCUAUCCAGUUUGUGGUGACUUGUUAUGGCAGCCCUCAGAAACCAAUACAGUAAUUUCCACAUCAUCAGUCUUGAAGAAAAAGGUUAUAGGAACAGGAGUCAACCUCUUGGAGUUUCAAUUUCCUCCCCUAUAAAUUGGGAAUAAUAACAUCUGUCCUUCCAUUGUACUGAGAAAAUGAUCAUAAAAAUACUAAGAAACUGAUUUAUAAAUGCAGGGUAUUACUCUUUCGGAUGUAUGCUUCUAAUUGCUUUGUCAGCUCUAAUUUAUUGCGUUGUUCUCUUUCCCUUUCUUUAAGAUCAUCUAUUUUCAAGUAACAUUUGCCUUCCUUGGAGAAGUUACUGUUUGGGUGUUAAGUUGCUUAUUUAAAAAAUAACCAUCUCUAGCAUAAAAGUGAGAAUUCAAAUUAUACAUCUGUAACACCACCCACUCUCCUAACCUCCCAAGCAUACACUUUGCCAUAAAUUGACAACAAAUUCACCCUUCAUUUUAGGAGAUAUCAAGCACUGUAACCUUUUGUUAAUACACAGAUGUAGGACAUUGCUUGUUCCAGCUAAUUGACUAUUCUGUUGAGCCUAACAGUACCAUCACAAACGAUCACUUUCUGAAGCUUACCAUAAAGAAGAUAUUUGGCACUGAAAGUACGUUUUUCACAAAUCACAAAUCAGUUAAGGAUUCACAAUUAUCAACACAAACUAUGAUUAUAAGAUAUUUCCAAUUAUUUAUAGUCUUGAAAACUUUUUUUUAAAGUUUAAAAUAAAUUGCGCACCAAUCAAAAUUUGACAGUAUCCAACAAGAGGAAAAUCUGUCAAAUGUUUUAAAAUAUCUCCGACAUUCACUCUUUAGAUCUUUCUAUCCUUCCUCACCUAUGCUCUCCAGAAUGUAUCACUAUAAUUGCAGAAGAUUUUUAUUCCUUAGGCAAUAUAUACAUUCUCUUUUUCAUUUUUACACGAAAAUCUCACACAUAUUUAAAUAGAGGACAUUUCACAGGUACACAAAGAUACACACAUGGAUAUUCAUGGUAACACUAAUAGCAAAACAGAGGGAAAACUUGGAGGUCCACCAUAAGGAUCUAGAUAAAUAGGUUAUGUUCUAGCCAUGCAAUGGUAUAUAUAGCGCUAUUAAAAAGAGUGAGACAGAUUUAGUAGUAUGGAAAUCGUCUCAAGGCAGGUAACAGAGAAAGCCCCACUGUCACUACCAAACCAAAUGCCAAAAAGUGUGAAUGGUAUGAUUCCACUUGUGGGAAAAAGGACUGUAAUAUCAUACACACGCACACAUACACACACACACACACACACACACACACAAUUAAGCUCUAGAGGUACUCCCAAAAAAUCCUGCUAAAAACAAUUACCUUUGGAAAAUGACUCCAAACUUUCUUAUUAUAGGUGUGGAUUACUUUAAUUCUGUAUGCAAUUUUAAAAUGGCAGAGUUUUAGAGCAUAAGAAAAAAGCAAUGAUUAGUGGUUAACUAUUUAUUUGAAAUAAAA
rnacentral:lncRNA from 10 species